rnacentral:rRNA from 1 species
CCCUUAGAUGUUCUGGGCUGCACGCGCGCUACACUGAAGCUAUCAACACGUUUUCCCUCCCUGAGAAGGGCGGGUAACCUUUUGAAUCAGCUUCGUGGUAGGGAUCGGGGCUUGCAAUUGUGCCCCGUGAACCAGGAAUUCCUAGUAGACGCGAGUCAUAAGCUCGCAUCGAUUAAGUCCCUGCCCUUUGUACACACCGCCCGUCGCUACUACCGAUUGAACGUUUUAGUGAGGCAUUUGGACCGACGCAUCUCAGUUUAACCGCUGGUUUGUGUUGGAAAGACUUCCAAACUUGAGCGUUUAGAGGAAGUAAAAGUCGUAACA